CACGGGGGGAGCAAGCGUUGUUCGGAAUCACUGGGCGUAAAGGGAGUCUAGGCGGUCAGGUAAGUGGAAUGUGAAAUCCCUCGGCUCACCCGAGGACCUGCAUCCCAAACUGCCUGGCUUGAGUAUGGGAGAGGAUGAGGGAAUUCCUGGUGUAGCGGUGAAAUGCGUAGAUAUCAGGAGGAACACCGGUGGCGAAGGCGCUCAUCUGGCCAAAUACUGACGCUGAAGCUCGAAAGCUAGGGGAGCAAACGGG
rnacentral:rRNA from 1 species